CACUUUGUUUUGAGUUGAGUUUUGGUUCACCAAUCUACUAGGCUUUGAAUUUCAUGGGUAAUGUUUUGUUUUUUAGUGCAUGCAAGCAUGAUUCCGCCUUUAAUUGUUAAUUGCAUGCUAUAUGAUGUUGCUCAAAUGAACAUGUUUUCACAAAAUCUUCCUUCAAGUGGUAUCAGAGCCUAGGUCUUGUAGUUGGUGAAUCCUUUUGGGUUUUGUAGUUCAUAGUUUGUGAUUUAAAAGUUGUAAUAUGUUACAAGCUAUAUUCUUGUUUCUUUGAAUGUAAAUUUUGUUAGAAAAUUUGCCAUCUCAAAUGUUGUAGAUGUAGUUCUUAUGAGCAUGAAUAUUGGAGCUAAAAUUUGGUGCCAUGAUUUUGGGGAUUUUCGGCCAAAUACAUAGGGUGAAAUUUUGGGUUCUUGUUUGACUUGUUAAAAGUGUUUUCAAGUGACUUUUGGAACUCCUAUGUACCCUAGUUUGGUUAUAUGUUAUUUCCCUAAAGUUUGAAUGGUUUUGGGAUGUUUUUGGAUGAAAAAUGUUCAUGGAAAUUUUUUGGGUUUUUCAUGAAUGUUCUUCAUUGUUCUUGACAUUUUUGCCAAGAACAAAAAGUAUUGUGUUUUGAUUCAAAGUUUUGAUUUAUUUCAUAAAGUUUAUUUUUUAUGUAUUUUCAAAUGUUUAAAUGUUUUAGAUAUUUGUUUAAAUGGUGUAAGAAAUAUUGGUGGGUGUGUAAGGAUUAAUUUCCUUUCACACACACCACUUGCACCACUUGCAUGCUUUAUGUCAAAACUCACAAAUCAACACACACAUCACUCCUUUCCUCUCCCAAAACCGGCCACCCUACAUUAUA
rnacentral:lncRNA from 1 species